GAUGAACGCUGACAGAAUGCUUAACACAUGCAAGUCGACUUGAACUUCGGUUUGGGUGGCGGACGGGUGAGUAACGCGUACAGAACUUGCCUCACAGAUAGGGACAACAUUUGGAAACGAAUGCUAAUACCUGAUAUUAUGAUUUUAAGGCAUCCUAGAAGUAUGAAAGCCAUAUGCACUGUGAGAGAGCUUUGCGUCCCAUUAGCUAGUUGGAGAGGUAACGGCUCACCAAGGCGAUGAUGGGUAGCCGGCCUGAGAGGGUGAUCGGCCACAAAGGGACAGAGAAGGGGCCCUUACGGCUACGGGAGGCAGGAGCGGGGAAUAGUGGAAGAUGGACCAAGUGUCUGAUGAAGCAAUUCUGUGUGUAAAAUGAAGUUUUUCGGGAUGUAAAGUGGUUUGAGUUGGGAAGAAAAAAAUGACGGUACCAACAGAAGAAGUGACGGCUAAAUACGUG
rnacentral:rRNA from 1 species